rnacentral:rRNA from 1 species
AGCGAACGCUGGCGGCAGGCCUAACACACGCAAGUCGAACGAAGUCUUCGGACUUAGUGGCGGACGGGUGAGUAACACGUGGGAACGUGCCUUUAGGUUCGGAAUAACUCAGGGAAACUUGUGCUAAUACCAAAUGUGCCCUUCGGGGGAAAGAUUUAUCGCCUUUAGAGCGGCCCGCGUCUGAUUAGCUAGUUGGUGGGGUAAUGGCCCACCAAGGCUACGAUCAGUAGCUGGUCUGAGAGGAUGACCAGCCACAUUGGGACUGAGACACGGCCCAAACUCCUACGGGAGGCAGCAGUGGGGAAUCUUGCGCAAUGGGCGAAAGCCUGACGCAGCCAUGCCGCGUGGAUGAUGAAGGUCUUAGGAUUGUAAAAUCCUUUCACCGGUGAAGAUAAUGACUGUAGCCGGAGAAGAAGCCCCGGCUAACUUCGUGCCAGCCGCCGCGGUAAAAC